CAAGUGUUGGCUCAGCGCAAGAGCACCACAUUGACUUUUUGGGGGUCACUGGUUCGAUCCCAGUACGGUCCA
rnacentral:tRNA from 1 species